rnacentral:rRNA from 1 species
AUUGAACGCUGGCGGCAGGCCUAACACAUGCAAGUCGAGCGUGCGGCGGACGGGUGAGUAAUGUAUGGGGACUGCCCGAUAGAGGGGGAUAACCACUGGAAACGGUGGCUAAUACCGCAUUCUAGCGGAUAAUCCAUUUGGGCUUAGCUAGUAGGUGGGGUAAAGGCGCCCCAAGGCGACGAUCUCUAGCUGGUCUGAGAGGAUGAUCAGCCAAACUGGUACUGAGACACGGCCCAGACUCCUACGGAGGCAGCAGUGGGGAAUAGUGCGCAAUGGGCGCAAGCCUGAUGCAGCCAUGCCGCGUGUAUGAAGAGGGCCUUAGGGUUGUAAAGUGCUUUCAGCGGGGAGGCGUUACCCGCAGAAGAAGCACCGGCUAACUCCGUGCCAGCAGCCGCGGUAAUUC